rnacentral:rRNA from 1 species
AGUGAACGCUGGCGGCGUGCUUAACACAUGCAAGUCGAACGAGAACGGGUUAUAGCUUGCUAUAAUUGUCAGCUAAGUGGCGCACGGGUGAGUAAUGUAUAGGUAAUAUGCCUCUUACUAAGGGAUAACAAAUGGAAACGUUUGCUAAUACCUUAUACUCCUUAUUAACCUAAGUUAAUAAGGGAAAGAUUUAUUGGUAAGAGAUUAGCCUGUAUUGUAUCAGUUAGUUGGUGGGGUAAUGGCUUACCAAGACUAUGACACAUAACUGGUUUGAGAGGAUGAUCAGUCACACUGGAACUGAGACACGGUCCAGACUCCUACGGGAGGCAGCAGUGGGGAAUAUUGCACAAUGGACGGAAGUCUGAUGCAGCAACGCCGCGUGGAGGAUGACACAUUUCGGUGCGUAAACUCCUUUUAUAUGAGAAGAUAAUGACGGUAUUAUAUGAAUAAGCACCGGCUAACUCCGUGCCAGCAGCCGCGGUAA